rnacentral:rRNA from 1 species
AUUGAACGCUGGCGGCAUGCCUUACACAUGCAAGUCGAACGGCAGCACGGGUGCUUGCCCCUGGUGGCGAGUGGCGAACGGGUGAGUAAUACAUCGGAACAUGUCCUGUAGUGGGGGAUAGCCCGGCGAAAGCCGGAUUAAUACCGCAUACGAUCUACGGAUGAAAGCGGGGGACCUUCGGGCCUCGCGCUAUCGGGUUGGCCGAUGGCUGAUUAGCUAGUUGGUGGGGUAAAGGCCUACCAAGGCGGCGAUCAGUAGCUGGUCUGAGAGGACGACCAGCCACACUGGGACUGAGACACGGCCCAGACUCCUACGGGAGGCAGCAGUGGGGAAUUUUGGACAAUGGGCGAAAGCCUGAUCCAGCAAUGCCGCGUGUGUGAAGAAGGCCUUCGGGUUGUAAAGCACUUUUGUCCGGAAAGAAAUCCUUGGCCCUAAUACGGUCGGGGGAUGACGGUACCGGAAGAAUAAGCACCGGCUAACUACGUG